CAAGUCGAACGAUCCUUCGGGGUGAGUGGCAGACGGGUGAGUAACGCGUGGGAAUCUACCCAUCCCUACGGGAUAGCUCCGGGAAACUGGAGAUAAUACCGUAUACGUCCUCCGGGAGAAAGAUUUAUCGGGGAUGGAUGAGCCCGCGUUGGAUUAGCUAGUUGGUGGGGUAAUGGCCUACCAAGGCGACGAUCCAUAGCUGGUCUAAGAGGAUGAUCAGCCACAUUGGGACUGAGACACGGCCCAAACUCCUACGGGGGGCAGCAGUGGGGAAUAUUGGACAAUGGGCGCAAGCCUGAUCCAGCCAUGCCGCGUGAGUGAUGAAGGCCCUAGGGUUGUAAAGCUCUUUCAGUGGGGACGAUAAUGACGGUACCCACAGAAGAAGCCCCGGCUAACUUCGUGCCAGCAGCCGCGGUAAUACGAAGGGGGCUAGCGUUGUUCGGAAUUACUGGGCGUAAAGCGCACGUAGGCGGACAUUUAAGUCAGGGGUGAAAUCCCGGGGCUCAACCCCGGAACUGCCUCUGAUACUGGGUGUCUUGAGUGUGGUAGAGGUGAGUGGAAUUGCGAGUGUAGAGGUGAAAUUCGUAGAUAUUCGCAG
rnacentral:rRNA from 1 species